AAAAACAUAGCCCUAGAUAAAAUCUAAGGUGUAACCUGCCCAGUGGUUUAGAUAUAAGAGAUAAAAUCUUUGAACUUAAACUAAAAGGACGCGGUAACCUUGACCGUGAUAAUGUAGCAUAAUCACUCGCCAUUUAAUUGAUGGAUAGUAUGAAUGGUUGAACGAAUAUUUCACUGUCUUAAAAAGAAUCAAAUAAAAUUAAACUAAUAGUCAAGAUACUAUUUAAAAUUGUAAGACGAAAAGACCCUAUAGAGCUUAACUAUAAUUUUCUUAUUAUAAAGAAAAUAUAAAUUUCUAUCUUAAGAAAAUUGGUAGUUUAGUUGGGGCGACUACCUUCUAAUUAUAACGAAGGUAAGCAAAGUUAAUAAUAAACUUAUUAUAUAAAUAAAAAUUUUAAUAAUUACAAAAGUAGGCUAUAAUGACCCGUUAGUAUUUUGAAAAAGAACUAACGAUCAAUUAAUAAAAGCUACCUU
rnacentral:rRNA from 1 species